rnacentral:lncRNA from 1 species
AUGUGCUGCAUCCUCUUCUCCAGAGCCUUGAAUGGGACUCUCCCAUCUCCCCCAGCUGUGCAGGGAUGGGGCACUCAGCCCUUUUAUCCCUAUGGGGUUUUGCCCCACAUUGGGGCCCUUCAGCCCACAGCUCAGCCCCAUAGACCCGGUUCAAGCCUUGGGGUGGGGCAGGAGCAAACUCCAAAGGCCAGCAGUGCAAUGGCACAGACACACACAGGAUCCGGCAGCUCUGUGGGCUGCAUCCGGCUGGAAAACAGCUGCUGCCCCACUCGUGACUCACACCCACGGGGUUCCACGAGUGACUCCUACACCCCCCUAUUGCCAUACAGCAGCUGGGACACACACAACCCCCAUAUAACCCCCCUUAUCCCCAUUCUUAUCACCCACAUCCUGCAGCCCCCACCCCAUAUCCAGCAACCCCCAGACCCACUCGUGACCCCCACCCAUGCCAUAUAUAGCACACACAUGGUUCCAGCGACCCCCAGCCCUACACACCACCCACACUGGACACCCCCCAACCCCACGCAGGGGGUCCCACAGCCCCCCUCACCAUCGCCGCUCACUGCCCGACCCGUUAUGAAGCCGCUGGUGAGAGGAAUAGAGGAAAGUCCCCCCCACGAGCCCACCCCUAUAUACCCGAGGGGGCGUGUGGGUCACGCGUGGGUGGCACUCAGACGCCCCGCCCCCUUCAGACCCCACACCCUAUCGCCACGCCCCCUUUUGCCCCGCCCCGCCGCUGAUUGGUCCGUUCGAACGUCAGAUGCGUGUGGGAGGGGCUUCCUUAGUGGGCGUGGUCUGCCGGAAAGUGGGCGUGGCUUACUCAAAAGUGGGCGUGGUUUGAGCAAAGGGGGGCGUGGCCUCCCCAGGAGGGGCUGCAGGCGGAUCCCACUCCGAGGGGUCCUAGUGCCCCCCAUCCCCGACCCUAAACAGGCGGAACCGGAGCCCGGUGGGGGGGGGAGGUCUUCAUGGAGGGGGGUCCCGAUGUCCUCGUGUCGCCGUUCCCGUGGGAAUCCCCGCGGGGCAGCGCCUCGCCGUCUCCUUUCCCCGCUGUCAUCGCCUUUGUUCCCCCGCCAGCGCCUGGGGGGGGGGAUGGGGGGCAUUUAUAUGGGGGGGGUGGGGGCAGAUCCUGUAGGGCAGGAGAAGCGGGUUGGGGGAGUGGGGGGGCACCUCGUGGGUCACGUCUGGCCCCGGGCUGUGGGUGGGGAGCGUUUGGGUACCCAGGGUUUGGAGAUCUCCGUGGGGCUUUAUGGAGGGGGGGGGGAUAUUUAA